CUUUCUUCCUCUCCGCUCCUUCUCAUGCGAUCGGAGCAGACGACGCCACCAGGGAACAGAUCGCCGAAGCCUGAUGCACCGCCAGCUGAGCCUCCCUCCUUCCUCUCCCUAUCGCGGCAUGGAGAUUCUCAUCCUUCUCCCGAUUGAGCUUCGGCCGGCCACCGAACCCGAGCUUUUGCCUCUUCUUGCGAUUUCCCCUGAAAUCCCGAUUUCCUUCUCGGAUUGUUGAAUGUCGAUCCACGCGCUGCCCUCUUUCGACUUCUCAUCGCCGCAGACUACCGACCUUCGACGCUGAUGAGCCCUGGUUGUCGAUCGCCGCCAUCAGUAGCCACAUCUUCUUCCCUUGCACGCGGGCUACUGACCUAAGGGGGAGAAGGGGCGCUAAUUCUAGGGUUUCCAGACAUCUGUAUUUGCUUGGAGUCACGUGAUCACCGAGGCUUCACACCUGCUGGUUUUGGAUUGGGCAACAGCAUCGGAGGCGACUGAUCAAGGUGUCGGAUCAACCUGGUGAUGGAUCUCCCUUGAGCAGGACUUCAUCUUCUCCAUUUCUUGGGGCUGCCAGGGCCUUGGGUGAAGAGGUGGAGGGUUGUUGAGGUAUUCUGUGGUAGCUCCCGGAUAGUGGAUGGCUGGAGGUUAGCUACUGGAUUGCUGCCCUACGUCAAGG